rnacentral:rRNA from 1 species
UACGAAGGGAGCUAGCGUUGUUCGGAAUCACUGGGCGUAAAGCGCACGUAGGCGGAUGUGUCAGUCAGGGGUGAAAUCCCGGAGCUCAACUUCGGAACUGCCUUUGAUACAGCACGUCUUGAGUCCGGAAGAGGUGGGUGGAAUUCCUAGUGUAGAGGUGAAAUUCGUGGAUAUUAGGAAGAACACCAGUGGCGAAGGCGGCUCACUGGUCCGGUACUGACGCUGAGGUGCGAAAGCGUGGGGAGCAAACAGG